AUGCAAGUCGAGCGGAAACGAAGAGGUGCUUGCACCUCUGGCGUCGAGCGGCGGACGGGUGAGUAAUGCUUGGGAAUAUGCCUUAUGGUGGGGGACAACAGUUGGAAACGACUGCUAAUACCGCAUGAUGUCUACGGACCAAAGUGGGGGACCUUCGGGCCUCACGCCAUAAGAUUAGCCCGAGUGGGAUUAGCUAGUUGGUGAGGUAAUGGCUCACCAAGGCGACGAUCCCUAGCUGGUUUGAGAGGAUGAUCAGCCACACUGGGACUGAGACACGGCCCAGACUCCUACGGGAGGCAGCAGUGGGGAAUAUUGCACAAUGGGCGCAAGCCUGAUGCAGCCAUGCCGCGUGUGUGAAGAAGGCCUUCGGGUUGUAAAGCACUUUCAGUAAGGAGGAAAGGUUAAGUGUUAAUAGCACUUAGCUGUGACGUUACUUACAGAAGAAGCACCGGCUAACUCCGUGCCAGCAGCCGCGGUAAUACGGAGGGUGCGAGCGUUAAUCGGAAUUACUGGGCGUAAAGCGUACGCAGGCGGUUUGUUAAGCGAGAUGUGAAAGCCCCGGGCUCAACCUGGGAACUGCAUUUCGAACUGGCAAACUAAAGUGUGAU
rnacentral:rRNA from 1 species